GAUGAACGCUAGCGGCAGGCCUAACACAUGCAAGUCGAGGGAGAAGCCCUUCGGGGCAGAAACCGGCGCACGGGUGCGUAACGCGUAUGCAACCUACCUUUCACAGGGGGAUAGCCCGAAGAAAUUUGGAUUAAUACCCCAUAAUAUUAUUGGAUGGCAUCAUUUGAUAAUUAAAAUUACGAUGGUGAAAGAUGGGCAUGCGUCCUAUUAGCUAGUUGGAGUGGUAACGGCACCCCAAGGCUACGAUAGGUAGGGGUCCUGAGAGGGAGAUCCCCCACACUGGUACUGAGACAGGGACCAGACUCCUACGGGAGGCAGCAGUGAGGAAUAUUGGUCAAUGGUCGGAAGACUGAACCAGCCAUGCCGCGUGCAGGAAGAAUGCCUUAUGGGUUGUAAACUGCUUUUAUAUGGGAAGAAUAAGGCGUACGUGUACGUUUGA
rnacentral:rRNA from 1 species